rnacentral:rRNA from 1 species
GAUGAACGCUGGCGGCGUGCCUAAUACAUGCAAGUCGAGCGAAUGGAUUAAGAGCUUGCUCUUAUGAAGUUAGCGGCGGACGGGUGAGUAACACGUGGGUAACCUGCCCAUAAGACUGGGAUAACUCCGGGAAACCAGGGCUAAUACCGGAUAACAUUUUGAACCGCAUGGUUCGAAAUUGAAAGGCGGCUUCGGCUGUCACUUAUGGAUGGACCCGCGUCGCAUUAGCUAGUUGGUGAGGUAACGGCUCACCAAGGCAACGAUGCGUAGCCGACCUGAGAGGGUGAUCGGCCACACUGGGACUGAGACACGGCCCAGACUCCUACGGGAGGCAGCAGUAGGGAAUCUUCCGCAAUGGACGAAAGUCUGACGGAGCAACGCCGCGUGAGUGACGAAGGCUUUCGGGUCGUAAAACUCUGUUGUUAGGGAAGAACAAGUGCUAGUUGAAUAAGCUGGCACCUUGACGGUACCUAACCAGAAAGCCACGGCUAACUACGUGCCAGCCGCCGCGGUAA